rnacentral:lncRNA from 1 species
GUCCACACCAAGACCCCAGUGAAGAACUGCAGCACACUCAUUAACAGCACACGGCACAGACAGUGGAACAGCCGGAUGACGCUCACGAUUCGAGGAGGGAGCCAAGCUGUCCCCUGAGAAGGAAGAGAUCUUUAAAGAAAAAAAGAUACAGAAAAUCCUAAUGAGAUACGAUGAAAGGAAGAAGAAUCCCCCAAGUCAGCAGAGAAUAGACUUUUGGGAGAAGUCAACACAUCCACACUGCCUCUGCUGGGGGAUGGAAUGAGCUAGCCAGCCUCUCCCAGAUGUUGACUGUGGACACCAGGCAACCACUGGAAUCUUGGUUUCCGGGGAAUGAGGUUUGCUGUUGAUGGCGACAUAAAAUGUUUUAGGAGAGAACAUUCGUAAGCAAGACAAGGUGGUGCAAUCCUACCAUCUGGGAAGAGACUGUGGGAUGAGGAAGGUGGAUCUCAGCUCUUUAGGGAGUACAGGGUCAGCCUGGGUUAACUAAGAUCCUAUCUCAAAAGAAUAAAGAGUGCUUGUCUAACCACCCCUCCCCUGCCCCCCACCAAGGUUUCUCUGUGUAGCCUUGACUGUCUUGGAACUCAGAGAUUUGCCUGCCUCUGCCUCCUAAGUGUUGGGAUUAAAGGAGCCUAUCACCAACACUCGGCUAAAUCUUUAGUGUUUUUCCAUUAAAGAAUUGGAAAUUUCU